rnacentral:rRNA from 1 species
GAUGAACGCUAGCUACAGGCUUAACACAUGCAAGUCGAGGGACCGGCGCACGGGUGAGUAACACGUAUCCAACCUGCCCUUUACUCGGGGAUAGCCUUUCGACAGAAAGAUUAAUACCCGAUGUACAGGAUGGGGAUGCGUUCAAUUAGGUUGUUGUUGAGGUAACGGCUCACCAAGACUUCGAUGGAUAGGGGUUCUGAGAGGAAGGUCGCCCACAUUGGAACUGAGACACGGUCCAAAAUCCGACGGGAGGCAGCAGUGAGGAAUAUUGGUCAAUGGGCGUGAGCCUGAACCAGCCAAGUAGCGUGAAGGAUGAAUGCUUAUGGGUCGUAAACUUCUUUUAUAUAAGAAUAUGUAUUAUAUGAAUAAGGAGCGGCUAACUCCGUGCCAGCAGCCGCGGUAAUAC